rnacentral:lncRNA from 1 species
GUGGAGCUUGCAGUUUUCGCUCGCUAAUUUCAGCUACCGCAGGCUGCAGAUAAUGCAGAAACAGGUUUUAGUAGCCAUCUUUGUCGCUUUUGUGUCAGACGUGGAGCUUCCAGCAUGCAUUUUCCCGUCAAUAUAUGUGAGUUCUUACAGUAUCAAGGAGUUUUUAAACACUGGUGAACGUAUAUGGACGCACACAACUAGUAAACCAGACCGGAUCCGCUGCAAGGUCGACCAAGUGCGGUUUAUUCAACAGCUUGCCAUAUUUUUCAACAGAUCCUUGCUGAUCAAUGGUCAUAG